GGCCUUAUUGUCUAGUGGUUAAGACACGCUCCUUUCACUAGCGUAAUCGAGGGUUCGAAUCCCUCUGAGGUCA
rnacentral:tRNA from 1 species